rnacentral:ncRNA from 1 species
ACAAAGGGGUGCCAACACAAACUUGGUUGCGCUGAGAUUAUACCCUGUGAACCUGCAACGGAUAAUGCCGACGAAGGAAUUGUUAUAUAA